rnacentral:rRNA from 1 species
UACGGGGGGAGCAAGCGUUGUUCGGAUUUACUGGGCGUAAAGGGCGCGUAGGCGGCCAGCACAAGUCAGUUGUGAAAUCUCCGAGCUUAACUCGGAAAGGUCAACUGAUACUGUGCGGCUAGAGUGCAGAAGGGGCAACUGGAAUUCUCGGUGUAGCGGUGAAAUGCGUAGAUAUCGAGAGGAACACCUGGCGGCGAAGGCGGGUUGCUGGGC